AGUGAACGCUGGCGGCAGGCCUAACACAUGCAAGUCGAACGGCAGCACAGUAAGAGCUUGCUCUUACGGGUGGCGAGUGGCGGACGGGUGAGGAAUACAUCGGAAUCUACUUUUUCGUGGGGGAUAACGUAGGGAAACUUACGCUAAUACCGCAUACGACCUACGGGUGAAAUCAGGGGAUCUUUGGACCUUGCGCGAUUGAAUGAGCCGAUGUCGGAUUAGCUAGUUGGCGGGGUAAAGGCCCACCAAGGCGACGAUCCGUAGCUGGUCUGAGAGGAUGAUCAGCCACACUGGAACUGAGACACGGUCCAGACUCCUACGGGAGGCAGCAGUGGGGAAUAUUGGACAAUGGGCGCAAGCCUGAUACAGCCAUACCGCGUGGGUGAAGAAGGCCUUCGGGGUGUAAAGCCCUUUUGUUGGGAAAGAAAAGCAGCAGGUUAAUACCCCGCUGUUCUGACGGUACCCAAAGAAUAAGCACCGGCUAACUUCGUG
rnacentral:rRNA from 1 species